ensembl:lncRNA
ACAGCAGAAGAGUUACAAAAAGAGACAACUGCGGGAGAAACUCGCGAAGAGAAUCCGUCGCUGAAGAAAAUCUUCAUCUCCAAUCUGAGCAGCGACUAGGCCAAAGAAAAGGACUCACUCUGAAGACUUUUCCAAACAGCACUUUGAACAGGUUUCCCCAUCUCCUCCCAUACCAUGGGCCAGAGGAGCAUGACCACCUGGGUGAGGAGUUUCUGAAUUAUCAGACCAUGCCAACCACCUCCCUUCAGGACGAAACUGAGAUGGAAAGCUUCUGGGCUGGAAUGGCAACACGGAAACAUAAAGU